CCGACCAAAUCCUCAAUCGUCACUUUAAGAGAUGGCACGCGCUGCCACCGACCUACUGCUCCGAGGUCAACAAUUCGUUUGCCUACGUUCCUCCAGGAGGAGACGCUCUAACACGCUGUCUCCACACAUACGGGUCUCGUGGUUUUCUGGAAACACGUGGAAGCCGUGGAUGCUAGCAGUUUGUGGAAAGGAGCAGAAGAUUUUGUGUAUGGGAGGUGGACAGGUUAUCCCGCGCAUCUUGAAAAGUGGUUUGAGAUUUAUGACAAGCACGUCAAACCCCUUCUCUUCACGCUUCUUUGAACACCAGGUGCGGGGCAAGGCAUCCAUCAAAUGACAGGCGACCGUAGACGCCUUCUCUC